GACGAACGCUGGCGGCGUGCCUAAUACAUGCAAGUCGAGCGCAGGAAGCCGUCUGAACCCUUCGGGGGGACGACGGUGGAAUGAGCGGCGGACGGGUGAGUAACACGUAAAGAACCUGCCCAUAGGUCUGGGAUAACCACGAGAAAUCGGGGCUAAUACCGGAUGUGUCAUCGGACCGCAUGGUCCGCUGAUGAAAGGCGCUCCGGCGUCGCCCAUGGAUGGCUUUGCGGUGCAUUAGCCAGUUGGUGGGGUAACGGCCCACCAAGGCGACGAUGCAUAGCCGACCUGAGAGGGUGAUCGGCCACACUGGGACUGAGACACGGCCCAGACUCCUACGGGAGGCAGCAGUAGGGAAUCUUCCACAAUGGACGAAAGUCUGAUGGAGCAACGCCGCGUGAACGAUGAAGGCCCUCGGGUCAUAAAGUUCUGUUGUAAGGGAAGAACAAGUGCCGCAGGCAAUGGCGGCACCUUGACGGUACCUUGCGAGAAAGCCACGGCUAACUACGUGCCAGCCGCCGCCGUAACAC
rnacentral:rRNA from 1 species